rnacentral:rRNA from 1 species
GACGAACGCUGGCGGCGUGCUUAACACAUGCAAGUCGAACGGUAAGGCCCUUCGGGGUACACGAGUGGCGAACGGGUGAGUAACACGUGGGUGAUCUGCCCUGCACUUCGGGAUAAGCCUGGGAAACUGGGUCUAAUACCGGAUAGGACCACUGCCUGCAUGGGUGGUGGUGGAAAGCUUUUGCGGUGUGGGAGGGGCCCGCGGCCUAUCAGCUUGUUGGUGGGGUAACGGCCUACCAAGGCGAUGACGGGUAGCCGGCCUGAGAGGGCGAUCGGCCACACCGGGACUGAGACACGGCCCGGACUCCUACGGGAGGCAGCAGUCGGGAAUUUUGCGCAAUGGGCGAGAGCCUGACGCAGCGAUGCCGCGUGAGGGAUGAAGGCCUUCGGGUUGUAAACCUCUUUCGACAGGGAAGAAGCCGGGGGUCACCCCGGUGACGGUACCUGUAGAAGAAGCCCCGGCUAACUACGUGCCAGCCGCCGCGGUAAGAC